rnacentral:lncRNA from 1 species
UAUUCUAAGAGAACUUGGAAUUUACCAAAGCGCCAAGGAACCAUUUGAGCAAAGAAAAAGACUGAUUAUUGACAUUAAUAAAAAUAAAAGUGGGCUCGCGGAGAAGCAGCAAGGCUUGAUGACCUGUAUAUUGUCAAAGUUUAUGAGAUUGUGUGUUAAACGGAAUCCUCAACAGCUCACUGCCCGUAUAUUGUCGGUAUCAGCUGGUUAGUAAUACUUAUACUCCCUUUUUCUAACUUUGACCAUCUAAAAAAUGCUAUUGAAAUUUUUUUGCAAUCUGUUAUUCAUUCCUUUUCCGCAAUUGAUCGCUUGAGUUUCACAUUUGCAGAUGAAACAUGUGCGUUCGAUUGGUCUCAAAUGGAACCAGCUCAGGUUGAGGUUCUGAUUUUAAAUCUUCAUACCAAGCAGUACUCAUUACCCGAGUGGAUUGCAAAAAUGAGUAAACUAAGAGUUCUGAUAAUCACAAACUACGAUUUCCAUCCUUCUAAACUGAACAACAUUGAGCUUCUCGGUUCUUUACAGAACCUGGAAAGAAUCAGAUUAGAGCGGAUUUACGUUCCUUCCUUCGGCACAUUGAAGAAUCUGAAAAAACUAUCUCUCUACAUGUGUAACACAAUACUGGCUUUUGAAAAGGGUAGCAUCCUAAUUUCAGAUGCAUUUCCAAAUCUAGAAGAAUUGAACAUUGAUUACUGCAAAGAUUUGGUGGUAUUACCAAUUGGUAUCUGUGAUAUCUUCUUACUAAAGAAGCUCAGGGUUACUAAUUGCCACAAGCUUUCUUCACUUCCCCAAGAUAUUGGAAAAUUGGAGAAUUUGGAACUUCUAAGCCUCAGUUCAUGUACUGACUUGGAAGCUAUACCGACUUCCAUUGGAAAGCUGUUAAAUCUAAAACAUCUUGACAUUUCAAACUGCAUCAGCCUUUCAAGUUUACCUGAGGAAUUUGGUAAUUUGUGCAAUCUAAAGAAUCUGGACAUGGCAAGUUGUGCAAGUAUUGAAUUGCCAUUCUCAGUUGUCAAUCUUCAGAAUUUGAAGACGAUAACCUGCGAUGAAGAGACGGCUGCUACAUGGGAAGAUUUCCAGCAUAUGCUUCCCAAUAUGAAGAUAGAGGUUCUUCAUGUUGAUGUUAACUUAAAUUGGCUUCUUUGAAUGACUUUUGUAUAGCAUAUAAUUAAAAUUCUUUUGUAAUAUUUUGUAAUUUCUUUUUGUAUAAAUACAUGAUUUGUAUUAGCUAUUCUCAAUCAAUAAAUUCAAUUUUUAAUUUUUUUAUCAGCUCAUUCUAUUGAUUUAUUUACAUUCUAAUAAGGUGGUAGUAAAUCCUUCUAUGCUUCUCCAACUCUAAAAAGCUUUUUGUAGUCCUUUGGUUCCCUGUUUCUGAGUUCUUCAAUCAUAGAUCAAAGUCGGCAAGAAGCAGUUGAUCCUCAAAAUUUGUCAAGCAUGGUCUUUGUUGCUUUCCAUUGAAUGGAUCAAAAUAUAUAAAUACACACUCACAGUUCCUUUUGUUGGUGAGUCUUUUACUAAAAUAACGAACAACCACUUCGAGUAUUUCCCCUUCCAAAUUUGCCUAUGGAUUAUAGAUAUUGGUGUCACCUUUUUUCCUUAAAUAUUGAACUCUGUGCAUUGGACCUAUAAAGGUGAUAUCAAUUUUUAUUGCAUAUAAAUAAAUCAAAUUUCAUUUUUAGUCCUUAAAAAGGUGAUUUUUCAACAUAUCCUUAAACUAUCCUUAAAUUUCAUUUUUAUUCCCGACUAAAUUCAAAUUUAUUUAACUUAUCCUUAAACUUUUAAAUUUUUGGUCUUCAAACUAUUUUUCAAUAUAUCAACCAAUUGGUCUUCAGACUUGACAAAAUAUGUGGUGAUUUCAUCUGGAAGUACCUUGUCUAUUACAUAAUGACAUCCAUCUCUAUUUGGUUCGUUCAUGGAAAAUUGGAUGCAUUGAUGAGUGCAAUUUGAAAACAUGUCUUAUCAUAUUUAUUAAAUGAUGUGGCAAUACAUGAUUGGAUGCAAUGUAACAUAGUGUAACACAACUAUAUAAGGAUGACACAUACAAAUUAACGUUACACCCUAUUUAUAGUCGUGCCUUGUCUUAGCUUUUCUGGUCUUGACGUGCAUUACAUGUACAUUGACGAAUCUUCAAAUCUCAAUUUGAGAGUGUCAAACAUAAUUCUCAAUUUGUGCAUAUGUAUGAGAAUAACUUCCCAACUUCUUGGAAAAUUAUCAUAAACUUGUUCAAUGUUAACUUUACUCUAAAUUUUGUCGGUAUGUCCUUAACUUGUUCAAUGUUAUAUAUGUUAAGUCAAGUGUACAAACUUCAAGAGGACUUUAAAGCAGAAUUGCUAGGAAAAAUAUUUGAAAGAGAAUAAAGGAUGUUAACCGCCGUUUGGUUCAAGUUAUGGGAUAAAAAAUCAUGUGACUACAAGAAUAUUGCCAUAUACUACGGAUGUUUAUAGCGACGGAUGGAAAACUGUAGGUAUUGAUGUUUUACCUACGGAAGUGGCCGUAGGUAUAGACAUCUAAAAUAAUAAAAUAAAAAAUAUCAAAAUAAUGCAGCGAGCGCGUAAUGAAAUUGUGGACUGUGAAAAACCCCACCUUUUCCCAACUCUAAAUUGCAAAAUGAUAAAAAUAAAACUAAUAAAAAUAAAAUAGAACCCCAACUGGCCAACUCCAUUCUUCACGUUUGUACCGGGCACACUGUAAUAAUAAGUAAGAGCUAUUGUAAUGAAAUGUGAUUUUAUUUGUAGGGUAUCUUUCAAGGAGAAUUUGUAGGUUUGGGGAGUUAUUUGUGGAAAAUGUAAAGGUAUAAUAGUGGAAAAAAUAACAAAUGUUGUAUUGUUAUUUUACGGUGACAAUUAUACAAAAAGAAAAUUCUAAAGAAACAAUUAUUUUAAGACGGAAGGAGGUAUUUGACUAAAAAUUUGUAUCAAAAUAUAAAUCUCUUUUUUAAAUUAUUAAAUAUAUUUAUCGUUUCCUUUUCAAAUAAACUCCUAAUUGAUACCACUGGGUGUUUUGAAAUAUGAUAACUUACACUUUACUACAUAUACAUAUAUACAAAUGAUAUUUUAGAUAAAUUUAUACAUAAAAUGAACAUAUUAACUACACUACCAAAUAUAUUUUAUAAGAGUUAAAAAAAAAAAAAAAAAUUAUAUAUAAGGAUGGAGGAAGUAUAUGACUUUAACCUUUAAUUUCAUCAAAAGUAGUUCGGAAUUAUUGGAAGACAAGGUCACGAGAUUCAUGCUUGAAUUCCAUAGCAGCAUAGACCAUGGCUUCCCGAUAUUUUUGGUUUCUACAUUUUUUGUGUGAAUUUAUAAUAGGUUUUUUACUCAACUUAUUGAGUUUUAAACACUUAAGUUUCUACUGUUUUUUUUUUUUUUUUUUUGUGUGGGCACAAUACUAUUAAAAACUUUUUAAUUAAUCAACUAAAAUAUAAAACAAGCAUGAGCAUAAGUUUGUUAUAAAAUUAUAAAAACAAUGCUAUCCAACAAAUGGAAGAUGAUUUUCUCAGAUUACUUGAUCGUCUAUAUGAUAAUAAUUGAUGAUUUUAACUUUAUUUUUUUGGAUAAAUCAGGAGAAAGGACAUACAUCAAAAGGUAGCACCGACAUCCUAAUUAGAUUGACAUCCCGAUGAAACUCCAUCCUAAGACGCCAUGCUCAAUUUUUUAUUUUAAAAAGGGGGAAGAGUAUAUAAAAGGGGAGGAGACCAAAAACCCUCAAAACAAGAAAGAAAAAGGAAAAGAAAAUCAACAAACUAGGGGAAUCUGUAAUUAGACAGACCACAUCUGUCGUGAAAGAAAUCAAAGUUCAAUUCUGAAGGUAAAGCCGUCAACCAAACUGAACCAUGUAGUGCAUAUCCCAUAUUAGUCAACUUGUCUUCCCGAUAAAAGUCCCCCAUGAACAACCAAGGCCUCUCUUAUAUUCCAAUAGAAAAAAAUUCAUUGGGCAGAUGGCGAGGGCUCUCGCGUAAAACAGGUUCUAUACGGCGGCUUUCUAUAAAUUGUUGUUUCUUUAAAUUUUCUUUUUUCUUUUUUGACAAGAGGAGAGUGACGGGAGCUUCAUAUCAUGUUGAAUCCUUGGAUUAUUGUGCUGCACAAUACCAACUUCAUGCGUGGCUAAUGAACUUGCAGUCAGAGCCAAGCUAGACACAAUGGCCACAACUGCUGGUACUACAUCAUCUGUCAGCAAGAGUUCAUCUGUCAGCAAGAGUUGUGUGCCUAUGUUGCUGUCCACGGGAACCAAGUCUGCAACAAAGGCAGGGAUUACUGGGAUGGGGUCUGGAACCGAAGUAAUGAGACAAGUUGGUGUAACUGAACCAUCCAACGGGGUUGUAGGGACUGUGUGCACCACAAUAUUGUGUGGAUGCACAACUGUGGAUGAGGGAAUGUCUUUAGAAGAGGCAGUGACUUCCUCGUGCACUACAAUGUUCAGCACUGCCGAAGAGCUCACCUCCCUAACCGAAUCCAAGGUAGCACCAUCAAAAUUCUCAUGCACGUCAACGUGCUCUACAUAAGUCAAAAGCGGAGCAGCAGCGACAAGAAGCUUUGGAACACUUUCCUCCUAAGAUUCCUGAUGCGUUCUCUCUACUUCAAGAGGGUCCACGUCAUCGUGCACAACACCGGUAACCAAUUCCAAAACGGGGAUAGCUGAUUGAGGUAACACGCCCUGAGGAGUUGCAUCAGAAACAUUUUGCAAAGCAAAGCUGAAAGAGCUGCUCGAAACAUCCUUAGGAAGAGCAAUGUUUUUAGUUGUAGACCGUUUUGGUGUAUCUAUGAUAGUAGCUGAAGCUGAAGGGUCUGCAACAUCAACAUAUUGCAUGGUACCUGAAGUAGAAGUACCUCUAUCACUACGGUACUGCCAAGGAGAAGGUUUCUUAGUAAGUGGUUCAGCCGCCAUAGGUUUCUUUCCAUGGUCAGUCACCUUAGUUGCCGGGUGCAACCACUUGCAAGUCGAAACAUUAUGUCCAAUGACAUAACAGUGAUGGCAAAAGAGCGGUCUCCUUUCAUAUUGUACUUCAACCUUAAAGGCAAAACCUUCCCGUUCCACAAGAAUUUCAUCAUAGGCUCUUUUAGAUAAGUCAAUGUCCACCAAAAUUUGUCGCAUAGUAUCUGAAAGCCCUAUUUCAUGUCGAGGCAUCCAAAUCUAUCAUAGUACCGACAACACUCGCAAUUUCCUUCGAAGCUCGUUCCCACCAUUGAUCAUUCUAAUAUUUAUCAUUCUAAUGAUGGGUACUAUUUUUUUUUAGAUGUGUUAUUUGAACAAUCCUUUGGUUGACAACUUAUUUGACAACUUAGUUUUACAAAGAAAAAAUAGGUAUUAACACGAAAACCAAAACAAAGAUAAGUAAAACAUAAUGUGAAUACGAGAGAGAAAGUUGUCAAAAAAAUUGUCACAAAUUCAUUUUUACACAUAUCAUUUAUCUUUUUUUUCUUUUCUUAAGGAAGCUAUUUUUUAUUGUUGAUAAUGGUCGUUUGUUUGGAUAAGACUGAGAUAUUGAUUCAUGCAAUAUUGAACUGCUAUGUUUGGAUAAGACUGAGAUAUAUAUUCCCAUUUAAAAGUGUUUUGUUUAACCAACACAUUAGCUUAUCCACUGGAAUAACCUUCACUUUAAAAAAACCUUAAUUAUUCUAAUGGUUGCUGGAAUAUGGUAACCACUCUGGCUACACAAUCGCACAUAGAAAUUGGUAGAGGAAUUACUGGGGUUAUUUUCCAGGAACAUUUUCGUUAAUUACCAUUAAUUAUUCUUAUGGAAGAGUACAUUUUCUACAAAUUCUACUUUCGAAAAUGCCAAACAACAAACACAUGAUUUUUUAUUGGGUUAAUAAUAGUGUUUUAACCCCUGUAAUUUAGGUCAUUUUCUAUUUUACCCUCUGUAAAAGUUUUUUUUUUUGGAUUUCUUCCUUGUAAUUUGAAAUUUUUUGAUUUUGGACCUUCAUCAAUUUUGACCGUACAAAAUCGAAGAUAUGAGGGGUAAACUGAAAUUUGCUCAAAUUACAAUGAAGGUAAACCUAAAUUUGCUCAAAUUACAAGCGGUGAAAUUUUUCAUGAAGAUCCAAAACCAAAAUUCCAUAACUUGAACCAAACACCGGUUAAUGUCCAAGUAUCCUUUAAAUAAUAAUACAUUUAAAUAAUUUAUAACUCAUUUUUUACCAAGUUGUACUUUUCUUUGCAGACCAAACCAAACGUGUGGAAUAUUUAAGGGGAAACAAUAGCGAAAAUUGUACGCAAUGUGACGGAAAGAGACAGAAGAAAGCAAUGAUUUUUCCUUUAAGGGGUAAACGAAACUAUAAAUACCAAGUUUUACACAUCAAAAGUUUCAAUUUCAAAACAUCGUACUACAACAACAAUUGUUAAGGUUCGAUAUACUAUACUACAAACAACAUCGUACUUUUCAUCUUCUAAACAUACUCACGCAACCAACAUUGAAUUUUUCAGCCUUUCAUAACUUGCAUUGUGUUUGUUAUUAGAUUACAACAAAGGAAGGAACAAAUUCAUGAGUAGCGCUACACACAUUAUUACCCUUACAACAAGAUUUCAAUUUCAUGAUGUCUUGAACAAAAUAUCUCAAAUACUUCAAAAAGCACGAAAGGAUUUAUCUCCUGUGGUUCAAGACAUAAAGCAAUACAAUGAUCAUUUGGAUCACCCCAGAGAGGAAAUAAAUAGUCUAAUAGAAGAAAAUGAUGCAGGAGAAAGUGCAUGCAAAUGUUCUUCUGAGAAUGAUUCCUAUGUUGUUGAUGAGAACCAAUCUCUUAUUGUAAAUGAUGUUGAAGAAACACUUUAUAAGCCAAGAGAAAUUCUUGAGCUUCUCAACCACGAAAAUCGGCCUCGUGACUUGUGGCGAAAGAUAGGGAAAGAACUAGCACAAGGUCAUUCUCUUCUUGAUUCUAAUACCAAAUUACUUAUUCGCCUCCAAAAGAUCUUUGAUGUUUUGGAAGAUAAUCCUACAAUCAUGGAGUGCUUCAUGGACAUAGCCUUAUUUCCCGAAGACCAUAGAAUUCCUGUCGCUGCUCUCGUUGAUAUGUGGGCAGAGCUGUAUAGACUAGAUGACAACGGAAUACAAGCAAUGGAAAUCAUCAACAAAUUAGGCAUCAUGAAUUUGGCUAAUGUCAUAAUACCAAGGUACUACGACUAUUAUUAUUAUUAUUAUAUUUUCUUCUAGGCUACUUAAAUUGUUAAAUAUCUCACAUGAAUGAUACUCUACAUAAAUCCUGUCAAAUAAUUUUUUAUCUUUUAAGUAACUAAUUAACCUCUGCUCAUUUACCAGGAAAAAUGCAAGUGACACGGACGAUAACAACUACAAUAAUCACUUCAUCAUCCUUCAUGAUAUUCUAAGAGAACUUGGAAUUUACCAAAGCACCAAGGAACCAUUUGAGCAAAGAAAAAGACUGAUUAUUGACAUUAAUAAAAAUAAAAGUGGGCUCGCGGAGAAGCAGCAAGGCUUGAUGACCUGUAUAUUGUCAAAGUUUAUGAGAUUGUGUGUUAAACGGAAUCCUCAACAGCUCACUGCCCGUAUAUUGUCGGUAUCAGCUGGUUAGUAAUACUUAUACUCCCUUUUUCUAACUUUGACCAUCUAAAAAAUGCUAUUGAAAUUUUUUUGCAAUCUGUUAUUCAUUCCUUUUCCGCAAUUGAUCGCUUGAUUUUCACAUUUGCAGAUGAAACAUGUGCGUUCGAUUGGUCUCAAAUGCAACCAGCUCAGGUCGAGGUUCUGAUUUUAAAUAUUCAUACCAAGCAGUACUCAUUACCCGAGUGGAUUGCAAAAAUGAGUAAACUAAGAGUUCUGAUAAUCACAAACUACGGUUUCCAUCCUUCUAAACUGAACAACAUUGAGCUUCUCGGUUCUUUACAGAACCUGGAAAGAAUCAGACUAGAGCGAAUUUCGGUCCCUUCCUUCGGCACAUUGAAGAAUUUGAAAAAACUAUCUCUCUACAUGUGUAACACAAUACUGGCUUUUGAAAAGGGUAGCAUCCUAAUUUCAGAUGCAUUUGCAAACCUAGAAGAAUUGAACAUUGAUUACUGCAAAGAUUUGGUGGUAUUUCCAACUGGUAUCUGUGAUAUCAUCUCACUAAAGAAGCUCAAUGUUACUAAUUGCCACAAGCUUUUUUCACUUCCCCAAGAUAUUGGAAAAUUGGAGAAUUUGGAACUUCUAAGCCUCAGUUCAUGUACUGACUUGGAAGCUAUACCGACUUCCAUUGGAAAGCUGUUAAAUCUAAGACAUCUUGACAUUUCAAACUGCAUCAGCCUUUCAAGUUUACCUGAGGAAUUUGGUAAUCUUUGCAAUCUAAGAAAUCUGUACAUGGCAAGUUGUGCAGGUAUUGAAUUGCCAUUCUCAGUUUUCAAUCUUCAGAAUUUGAAGACGAUAACCUGCGAUGAAGAGACGGCUGCUACAUGGGAAGAUUUUCAGCAUAUGCUUCCCAAUAUGAAGAUAGAGGUUCUUCAUGUUGAUGUUAACUUAAAUUGGCUUCUUUGAAUGACUUUUGUAUAGCAUAUAAUUAAAAUUCUUUUGUAAUAUUUUGUAAUUUCUUUUGUAUAAAUACAUGAUUUGUAUUAGCUAUUCUCAAUCAAUAUAUUCAAUUUUUAAUUUUAACUACUCAUUCUAAUGAUUUAUUUACAAGAUAAUAAGCUGGUAGUAUGCUUCUCCAGUUCUAAAAAGUUUUUCGUAGUCCUUAGGUUCCUUUUUUUUUGUUCCUUGUUUCUGAGUUCUUCAGUCAUAGAUCAAAGUCGGCUAGAAGCAGUUGAUCCUCAAAAUUUUCCAAGCAUGGUCUUAUUUGCUUUCCAUUGAAUGGAUCAAAAUACAACGAAGAAGGUGCUGCUUUCAAAGAACAAUGUGAAGUUUGUUAAUGGAGAUAUUUGAAAAUUAAAGCGCACUUGUUUUAAUUAGUUCUGUAAGAUGUUUCAACGUUUAUAACGUUCCCUUAAAUGUUCCAACAUCACGAAAUAAACAGAAAUCAAAACAAGAAAAUAAAUGACAAGAAAGUAAAGAACACUGUGAGUUUGUUGACCCAGUUCGGUAACAAACUCACCUACUCUGGGGGCUACCACGUCAGGAAGGAAAUCAACUAGUGUAGUCCGUAUUCUAUAGGACUCAACAAACUCCUUGUUUACUCGUAUAUACUUCAACCUAGGAACUCCUAGAUCUGAGAUCCCAUCUCUAUCUUAUGUUCAGUCACAGCCCCUGUGACCUAUCAGACCUAAGCACAAACUCAAGGAUGAAGUUAUCUUUAAACACAACAACUAACACCUUGCUUACAAGGUUUGGUGUAGUACACAAAAGUAUCAAACUCAACACACAGUCCUAAACAUGUAUCACAGACGAUACGAGAAAGGCUCACAAUAAAGGUUCUAAACUUGCAUCAGCAGGAUACAAGAGUAGAGCACAUGUAGACUCAAAAUCUUAAAAAUCUAAACUUUUAGAAUGACGGCUUGAAUAGUUCAUUAGGUCUUGAAGUCUCACUUAUAUUAUACUGAAGCAGCUCGGGUCAAAUACUUUAGUUGGGCUUCAGAACAAAGCAGAUCGGUUCAGCUAAUCUGCAAAACAGAAUCAGAGACAAAUAUGUAAAGUCCUAAAAUGUCGCUAGGAUCGUCCAAAUCAAUAACAAAUUUUUCCUAAAAAAUAAAUACUACUUUAGGAAUAUUCCACGACUGAUUCUGUAAAGAUAUGCGCGUUGCUUGAUCAAUAAGAUAAGGAAAUAUUGUUUCCUUAAACAAUAAAGGGCGCGCGUACAAAGAGACAUGACCUCAGGCACACUGAACUGUGCCAGGAUGUUGGAACAUAAUAUCCAACAUCUUACAGAGAUGCCUAAAUACAUGUUGGAACAUUGGUUCCAACAACACAAAUAAUAUUUAUUUUAGCAAUAAUGCAGCCAAUACAAAUACUCAACAAUAUUUUAUUUUCUGCUACACAUGAUUAAACAUAGGUGUUAUUAACAAUAUUAUGGUAGAUGCAUUUUCUAAGUCACAACAUAUAGAUAAUGCCAUGCAUUUGGAAAAUAAGCAACGGAUAUCUCAGUUCAAUCUUAAGCAAGUUUAGCAUCUUAGUUGUGUGGUGAGUCAGAAACACACUAAUAUACAACCAGACACAGUGCCUUUUGGUGGGGCGAGUCUUCUAUUAAAAAACGAACAGCCACUUCAAGUAUUUCCGCUUCCAAAUUUGCGUAUGGAUAAUAGAUAUUGGUGUGUCACCUUUUUUCCUUAAAUAUUGAACUCUGCAUUGGACCCAUAAAGGUUAUAUAAGUUUUUAUUCCCUUAUUUUUCAACAAUCAACCAAAUAUAUGGUGAGUCUAUCUCUGUGAUUGAUUCCUUCAUGGAAAAUAGGAUGCGUAUAUUGUUGAGUGCAAUUUGAAAACAUAUGUCUUAUCAUAUUGAUUAAAUGAUGUGGUAAUACAUGAUUAGAUGCAAUGUAAUACAGUAUAACACAAUUAUACAGGAAUGGCGCAUACAAAUUAAACCUUACACCCUAUUCAUAGCCGUGCCUUGUCUUAGCUUUUCUGGUCUUAACGUGCAUUACAUGCAGGGCCGUUCAUGAGAAUUCGGAGGCUCGGCUUUGAGAAUGAAAAAUUCAUUAAAGAAAGAAGAAAAAAGGAACAUAAAAAUUAAGUAAUGGGUGUUGAACCCAUGACCUAGAUAGUGCAAACUCCCAUUCAUUCCGCUCAGCUAUAUUUGCUUAUCCAAUUUUUUGAUCACGCCGCUUCUAUAUAUUAUUUAUUUACAUGCAGCAUAUAUAAAAAAAUAAAAUAAAAAUUGGGCCUCCAAAAUUUGGAGGUUCAGCGCAGUAGAGCUGUUUGCACCCCCUCAAGGCCGGCCCUGAUUACAUGUACAACAUUGACGACUCUUUAAAUCUAUUAGUCAUUCUUUAACGUUUGUACAAAGUCAUAAGUCACUUUACAGCGUCAAAUAUUAUUGUCAAUUUGUGCAUCAUGUAUGAGAAUAAUUUCCCAACAUCUUGGAAAAGUACCACAAACUUGUUGAAUGUUAACUUUACUCUAAAUUUUAUACAUAUGUGCUUAACUUGUUCAAUGUUAAGUCUACAAACUUCAAGAGGACUUUAAAGUAGAAUUGCUAGGAAACAUAUUUGAAAGAGAAUAAAGGACAUUAACUGCCGUUUGGUUCAAGUUAUGAGAUAUAAAAAUCAUGUGUUUGGCGUUUGGCAUUUUCGAAAGUACUAUUUGCAGAAAAUUUACUCCUCCAUAAGAAUAAUUAAUGGUAAUUGACCAAAAUGUUCCUGGAAAAUAAUUAACUCUAGUAAUUUCUCUACCAAUUUCUAUGUGUGAUUGUAUAGCCAGAGUGGUUACCAUAUUCCAGCAACUAUUAGGUAGUUUGGCAGUAAAUCAUCAUCGCAGUCAACUAUUAUUAAUGAUGAUGAUAAGGUUUUUUAAAGUGAAGGUUAUUCCAGCGGAUAAGUAAUGUGUUGAUUAAACAAAACACUUUUUCUAAAUGGGAAUAUAUAUCUCAGUCUUAUCCAAACAAAGGAGUUCAAUAUUGCAUGAAUCAAUAUCUCAGUCUUAUCCAAAAAAAAAAACGAUCUUUAUCAACAAUAAAAAUAGCUUCCUUAAGAAAAGAAAAUUCAAUUAAUGAUCUUUCAUGGUAAUUAAUGUCUUACAAGUCUCGUACGCUUAGCUCAACUGACAAAGAUAAUGCAUAGUAUCAAGGUUUGGGGUUCGAAUCCUAAACACCAUAAAAAAAAAUAAUAUCCAUCAAACUAGAAGGGCAAUUUGAUAUAUAUUUAAGUUUUUAUUUUUAUUUUAUAAAAAUAUGAUAUAUUUGUCCCGUAAGCAUUCAAUCGUUAACUAGAAGGACAAUAUUAUAUAGAGGUUGAAAAACCGCGUACUCUUCACUUAUUCACAUUUAAAUGUGAGUCAUUUUUUCUUUUACAAAAAAUGUGUGAGUCCUAUCCAUAAGGUAGUUGACCAAUUUUUUAUAUAUAUAUUUUUGAGAGGAUAUAUUUAUAUUAAUUCAUCAUCAAGAUUCGAGUCAAAUUUUUAAUAUACUAUCAUCAAUUUUUUUAGGAUAUUAUGACCAAAUUAUAUAUAUAUAUAUAUAUAUAUAUAUAUAUUUUUUUUUUUUUUCUUCCAAAAAGCUAAAAUAAAAUAUAUUAAAAAUCCUCCUCAUUAUGUACCAGAUGUGUCUAAAGAUAAUUAAUAUAAAGAGUCAAAAUAAUAAAGAUGAUGAAAGUAAGAAUAACUAUUACAAAGUUGUGGUGUAUCAUAAACAAAGUGAAAAAUUAAAUUGUUGCGCAUGACACCUAAAAUCUGCAGGAACAACCGUAAACAUGUCCAACCAGCGAUGAACGAGAUUCUAAAUACUACAAAAAAAAAUGUCAAACUCCCAGUAAAGAUGAUUAAACAUUUCCUCUUUGCCGCAACCGCAUAAGCACUAAACCAAGUUGGACAAAAUUACUCCUCUCCGCACUAAAUUGUCCUUUGUAUGAAUUCUCUUGUUAAAUGUUCGCCAUACACACACUGAUUUACUUCAAACUACAUAUGAAUAAAUCUCAUUAGGAAGCUGAUCUGCACCCAUAAGAAUAUAUGAUAGACAUCUUUUACUGAGUAUUCUUCAAUAGGGUCCUGUUUCCAAAAUCAUUUGUCAUUAAUAUCAACCUGCAAAAUAAAUACCACCAAGCAGUUUAGUAAAAUCUACCACCGCGCGAACAACCUACUUCUCCACCGCCACCCCUCCUCGUCGACCUCCCAACCUGGCCUCCUCAUAUCAGCAACAGUAACAUUAGGUUCCACACUUAGCUCAAACAGACGCGAAAAUCCUAUCCCGCAUUACCCCACCAUCUAACCACAUAUCACUUCAAAAGGUAGAAUUUUCACCAUUUUCAACUCUACAACCCACCCAUCUCUAAAUCAACAUGUGUCACUGCCGCUCUCUCCCUCACAAAUAUCACACACAUUUUUCUACCACACCGAAAAUAAUUUACCCCUUCCAUUAACCCGGCCUCCCUCCAACCCGUAUUUCUCAAAAAUGCUAAAUUAAACUCCUUGAUCCUCCUGUCCUUAAAACCUCUAUACCCUCCUUACUAGAACACACCUUGUCCCAAUUUAUCUAGUGAAUUUUGCAAGCUUCCUCACCCCUUCCCCCCCACCCAUUUAAAAAGACAUUCAAUGAAAGAUAUGCUACAUGUGGGAGCUUUGAAGAAGGAAAGAAAAUAAACUAGUAAUGAUGACAAGAAAGAUUUGAUGAGCACAAGACAACUGACCAUGGAUAGGCUUUUACUCAUUUAUUACGCACAUUCUCAAUUAACCGAAUCCUAAAUAACAGACGCCUCGGGUCCUCACCAAUGUGAGGCCCUAAGUACACAAACGAAAUAUGACUAAUCUUAAAAUUAAAAACAACAUGAGCUUCUACAAACCAAAAAUCAAAAACAUUCACACCAACCAAUAUGCUUUUGCGAAAAUUCACCUUCAAACCUGAAACGAGUUAAACAGUAUCAAAGUUGCCUUUUUAAUGUCUGAAUAUUUCCCCAAUUCUUUUCUCCUAAGAUCAAACUUAUCAUCACCAAAACUGAAGGAAACAAGAGAGAGAAGCUCUUUUCUCUCUUCACCCUCUCCUUCACUUCCGACCUACCACCACCUCCACUCCGUCUCUCUCUCUCUUCUCCUUCAACAUCCAAACAUUACUACCCUCAUGUAGCUGCACGCGUCGGUGGUGCGAUUGGCGGAAGCUCCAUCGCGUCACCACCUCAACACCCCUUUUGGAUUGUUACUGCCGGUGAUUCCUCUGUCAACGAUAUGUUUUCGUUCUUGGAUCUGGGCUUUCCGUUUUUGGUGGUUUCAAACGGACGUGGUUGGCUGUUAACCACCGUCGUCGUCGUGUUUUAGUUGUUCUACCGUCGUGUUUUCUGUUGUAUUUUUUGGAUCUAUUUUAGUGGUUUCACUGUUGGUUUUGGUAAGACAUAUUUGUGUGGUGUGCUCCAUAAUCCGGAUCUGGUUUUUUAGUUGGGGUUUUGCUGUACAGAUCAGUGACAGUGUGCCGCUGGAUUUGUUGGUGGUGUUCGAUCAUGACUGCUCAGUUGCCUGCAGUUCCUUCACGAUUAAUCCUCCUUCGCAACUUCCGGAUCAUUGUCGUUGUAAGGAUCGUGGUGGUAUUGUGGUUGUCUUGCCGGUGGUUGUGGUGUGUGCCGGUCUAUUCAGAUUCAGUUUGGCUUUUUGCUUGUUUGGAUGCCAGACUCCCACUUUUUUCGAGAUUGCCGUGUUUUGGUGGUGCGUGUGGUGGUUAGUGGUGGUGGUUAUGGGUGUUUUGUGUUUGGAUUCUAGGCAUUUUUUGGGUGAUUGGUGUUAGGGUGGUGAUGUUUUAGAGGCUUUUAGACAUGUUUGUAGGGAAUGGUGGUGUCGUGCUGCUGCCUUUGGAGAUGUUCAAGUGGUGGUGAUGGAGGAUGAUUUUGUGGCUUGUUUUUUUGGUUUGUUUGUGUAUGUUGGUUCAAUUUGUGCUAUUGUUCCACCUUGUCUCUGUCUUACGAAUUUGUCAUCUGGAUAAUGAUGGGCUGAUCGCUUUUGCUUCGAGAUUAGAAGUUAGAGUCUAGCUGUCAAGUUGUUGGAUAAGUUGAGGUGUAUGCUCUGGUGGUUCGAGAGUUUAGGAGUCUGGUGGGCCGAUCACUUUUGAUUCGAGAUCAGGAGCCAACUUUUUGACUUAGGUCUUUUUAGGUUUAUUUUGGUGUCUUCUCCGAUUGACUAGAAGUUGAUUGGUGGUCGAAUCUGAACAUUUGAAACAACAAAUCAUUAUCUGGUGCUUAUUUGUUAGGGGUUUCAGCAUGUACGAUGGUGUUGAUGGUUUUCGCUGAUUGGUUUUGGUGUUGCUUUUGGGUUUGGAGAUUUGUUUUUAUUAGGGUUGAUGUUAGCCUUAGGUGGUAUUGUGUAUGUAUUGGUGUUUAUGUUGUACUUUUCUUUAGGUGUUCUGCCUAUAUACGGUACCUUUUGAUGUACUUUUGGUGUUAUACCGAUCUCUGUUCGUCUCGUGCGGAGAUCUGGUUUAUUAAUAAAUUUUGCUGUUUCAAAAAAAAAAAAAGACACACACAAACAUAAUGACUUAUUUUAUCAUAAUAACAAUAAAUUUUAAUUAUCAACUAUAAUAAUUUUUUUUAAGUAGUCUAGUGGCUAGAAAUUAAUCUUUUAUUGGGUGAAUAAAUGGGGUCUUCGAGGUUUAAACUCCAACGUCUGCAUAUAUUAUGCAGCGUCCCUACCAAUUGAGUUAAGUUCACGAGAACAAAUUAAAUUCCUUUCUAAAUUUCUAUAAUGAAAAUAUUAAAUUUUUCCUUAUAAUUCUUUAAAAUUAUGUAAAUUGGUCCUUAUAAAUUUUCUAAAAAUUGUAAAUUAAAUCCUUUAAAUUUAAAAAAAAUUUAAAUUGCUCCUCUUGUUUUAUAUCUUUAAAAAUUUGUAAAUUGGUCCUGAAAUUUUAAAAUAUUUAGAAUCCGUCCCUAUUUUUCAUAAAUUUUAUAAAAACAACAGAACAAAGUUUAACAAUGAAGAAUUGUUUUACUCCACCGAUACAAAAAUAAUUAGAAAUGAAAGAAAUUCAAUUAAAGCAUUUGAAUUGUCUAAAAUUUUCAUUUUUAGGUUAUGAUUCUGUAACUUAGGAACAACUGCAUGAGUUGAGCAAAGACUAUGUUAUGUCAUGAGUUGAGCAAAGACUAUGUUAUGUCAUGAGUUGAGCAAAGACUAUGUUGCCUAGUUCUAGGAACAAAACAUUGGAACCAUUGCCGGUGCCAUUGGAACCAUCGUUUCUCUUUGUAUCGAAGAAGCCUUGAACCAUUGGAGCCUUCCUCGAGUUGACUAAGCACUUGACAACUACAAGGACAAUAAUGAUGAAGGGUGAUCCUAUCUGCUUAUGUCACUCCUUCUUGUAAAGAACCCAACAAAUACUAGACAUGGUCUCUAUAUUAAGCUAUCAUGGCCGAUCGUCAAAGUGGAGGAGAAACAACGUUAGUCUCAUUUGGUCAAAGCAUUUAGUACUAAACCACAAGAUGUUAGAGUGUUAUUGGAUCUAGAUUACAAGGGAGCUUAAAAAGACUUUAUGAUUAAAAAAAAAAAAAUCAUCUGGUAUUUAAUUAAAACUUUUAUAAAAUUGUUGGCCUGUAUUUCUAAGGAUGUGUUUGGUUUGGAAGAGAAGUUGAGAAGAGAGAAUUAGGUAAGAGAGAGUAUUAAAAGAGAGAAAAAGAUGACAAAUAUAGUAUAUUUGAAUUAUUGUUUGGUAUAAAAAGAAAGAGAAAAGAGAGAAGUAUAAUUGUAUUUUAAAUUGACAAUAGUAUCCUUUAACUCGUAAAAGAUGUUUGAAUUACAACUCUCUCCCCCGUCUUAUGUUAAAAUGUACACUCCCCUCUUAUUCAAAAUAUAUUAAAAACAUUUUCACUCCCCUCCCUUAAGAGAAACUUGAAUUGCAUUCUCCUCCCCUCUUAUGUUAAAAUCUACACUUUACUCCCUCAAUUUUUUUUUUUUUUUUUUUUUUUAUAUCUAAUAAUCUAACACACUUCCAAAAAAAUAGCAUUGCGCGUCUAUUUUAAUAUAAUAAAAUUAAAAUAUGUGAAAAAUUACUAAAGACAAUAAAGCAUGGUUAUUUAAAGGUUAAUUUUAUACUCUAAAUUAUAAAAUCAAUACCAAAAUAUUUAAAUUUAAUUAUCAUUGACAUUUAAAUUAUAAAGAAAUGAAUUAAUUUUUCUUAAAUGGUGGUUCAAAUUAAUAUAUAUCAUAAAAAUAUUUAUUUAUGUUAAAAUUGAUUAAAGUGUAGUGCAUAUUUAAUUAUUAAGGGAGGUGGUUGUAAUUCAAUCAUUUUAUAAAGGAGGGGGUAUAAAUUUUAUUUUUUAAGGGAGAGGAAUGUAUAUUUUAAUACAAGAGAGGAGAGGAGUGUAAUUCAAGCAUCUUUGAGGGGAUGUGAGUGUAAUGUACUCUUUAAUUUUUGUCUUUUAUGAGGCUUAUAAUGGAAAACCAUGGGCCGGAGUUCUUUCUCCACUCUUUUGCUCCAUCAACGGAGAAAUUGAUUUUUAUGUGGAACCCAUCUACUUUUAGCCUUUCUCUCUUGUAUUUUGCUCUUGCUCCAAACACAAUGGCUUUACUCUCUCCCCCCUAUUUUCCUCUCACAUUGCUCUUUCCUCUAUCUCUCUUGUUCCAAACACACCAUAAGUGUUUGUUUUCGACAUGAUAUAGUAUUUGUCGAAAGAAGUUUUUCUUCAGAUAUAGACUUAAUAAAUGCAUUCGACAAGGUUUGAUGAAAAUUAACAUUUUCAAGUCUUUUGAGUUCGACUAGAAGGAAUCCAAAUACUGUUUGAAGAGGCAAGAUCAAAGGUCCAGGCACGUGGAAAGUAAAUCAAGUCUGUCGAAAACAUAUGGUUUAGGACCAUUGGUUUGUUAGUUAUUUUUCUUAUGUAUAGCUUUUCAUAACAAAAAAGGGUCAUGAAUUAUUAUCAGAGUUCUCAUACUCGAAUCAUCCAGCAUAGAGAGAAAAGAGUAACACAAAAUGUAUGUAACAUGAGUUUUUAGUUGUAUAUUCUGUGGAGUGGAUUUCUUUUUAGAGUUUUUAGUUAAACAUAAAAAUACAACACUGAUUCAAUAAUCUCACAUUUUGAUUAGAAUAAGGUAACUUGUGAGACUUUGAGACUCUCUGCAAUUUAUUUUAGUUGUCUCUCUAAAGAUACCAUAUGCAUUGGCUCUCAUUAUUAUUUUUAUUUCCUUUCAGUUUUUUCUUAUUCUAUUUUGACAUUUUUGACGUUUAAAUCAUAUCCUCUCAUUUUAUUUCACGGGAAAUGUUAAACAGUUCCCUUAUAACAUUUGUUAAAGAAACAAAACUAGAAAUUUUAUUUAAAAAAUGGUGUAUUCAACCUAAGUCAUCUUUUGAAAAGUUUAAAAUUUAAGGUUAAUUAAGUAAAUGGUCUCUAUAAAUAUUCAUAAUUUUAUUUUUAGUCCUUAUAAAAUAAAAUCGCACUUUUUAGUCCUUGUAAAAAAUUUAUUCAACAUUUUUUGUCCCUGUAAAAUUUUCCAUCAACAUUUUUAGUCCUUAUAAAAAUUUUACGUCCGCAUUUUCGAUCCUUAAAAUGUUAAAGAAAAAUGUCACAGAAACUAAAAAGUGUGAUUUUAUUUUGUAGGGGACUAAAAACAAAAUUCUGAAUAUUUAUAAGAACCGUUUACUUAAUUAAUCUUAAAAUUUAUAAUUUUCAAUGCAAAGUUUACAUUUUUUGUAUGCUUAACUAGUAAGUAUCUUAGACACUUGUUAGCAUCACAUUUAUUUUAUUUUGAUGUUUUUUUUUUUUUUUCCGGUUCUCUUCUUAUGUAUUGUUUUGUCCAAGUUCAAUGUUUUAUGUUCAACGAUUUUUACAUUCACUUCCUCAAAAAAAUAAAAUUACAUUCACAUUGCUCUCGUUUUAUUGUCGACGCCUAUAUAUGGUGGAAAUGGCUUGGUAUUAGAAUAAAAAAAAAUGGCUUUGGUGACUAAUGUUACACGUCAACAUAAAUAAACUCAAUUUUUAAUGGCUGAAAGUUACCAAGUUCUUUUCUUUCAGCCCAAGCAAAGCAACGUGUUACCGUGUCACGCAAUGCGGCGGAAAGAGACAAGAAGAAAACAAAAGAUAAUUCUCUUCCUGGCCACUACUAUAUAAAUACAUUACAUGCAUGUUAUGUUAGUUUCAAUUUCAUAUCAUCGUACUACAGCAAUACUUCUGAGUUUCAAUUUCACUUCUUGCAUAGCUAAAGAACACGGACAGGCAAAAACAUAAUCACCAAAUCAAAGGUUCGAUAUAUUGUACUGUGGAAAUUAUUGUUCUAUUUGACUUUUUUUCUUUUCUUUUGAAAGAGUUCUAUAUAUUUGGGGAAAUUUACGAAGUGUAUUAUGACAAGUUUAUAUGCUAAGCCAUGUUUUCAGCAAAUUCGAUAAACUCUUAUGAAAACAUAUCAUAUACAGGUUGCCUUAAGCAUGGACGGAAGAGGCGAGUGCCCAUGACAUUGUUUUGAUAAGAGCACCAAUAUUAUUUUUGUUUUAUUUAAUAGUUAACAAUAUAUACGUAUAUUAUUUUAAUUCACUUUGAUUAAUUUUAUUGAAAAUAUUUUUAUAAAAACAUUGAUUAUGAAUAAGGGGUUGUAUUGGAUUUUUUUUUUUGAAGUUGGAUUUUUUUUGAAGAAAUCAAAAUUAUAUAUAACAAAAAAAAUUGGCUACCUUUCCGGCACAAGGUUUAUCAAAGAAAGGACAAUUUUUAUUUAAAAAAGUCUUAAGGAUUUUAAAAGACUCUGCAGAAUUUUAAUGACUUUGAUGGUUUUAAAAGACUAUCAAGAUUUACAAUUUGAAUUUCAAUGAAUUUAACUCAUGGUCACCUUAACUCAUAAGAUUUUAAAGAAUUUGAAAUGAUUUUAUGGAUUUCAAAUUUUUUUACGAAUUUUAAUUAAGCACUCAUUGCAAAAAUAAUGAUCAUAACACACUCUAUUUUACAAUAUUCUCAAUAGAGACUCUUUUAUUAAUAAAGAUAUUUUAAUAAUUAAAAUGACACAACUUUAUUGAUUCGCUAAGAACAUAAAUAAUCUUAAGAUUGUCCUGAUAAGUGAUAAUAUCAUCAAUUAUAGAGUAAAAUUAUACUCCCCUCCCCUUAAUGUUGCUUGAAUUACACUUCACUCCUCUCUUAUGUUAAAAUAUACAUUACCCUCUCAUCUUAUUCAAAACAUAUUAGAAAAUAUCUCACUCCUCUCCCCUAAGAGAAACAUGAAUUACAUUCUCCGCCCCUCUUAUGUUAAAAUCUACACUUUACUCCCUCAUUAUAUAUUUUUUAUUUCUAAUAAUAUUGCAAAUUAAUAAUAAUCUAACACACUUCGAAAAAAUAUAGUAUUGCAGGUCUAUUUUAAUAUAAUCAAAAUUUGAAUACAUAUUUUUUCUAUUUUUUAUUCAAAAUUUCAUUAACAUAAAGUUUUAACCCCUAUUAUAAAAUAUGAAACAACCCAAAAUAAAAUUAAAAUAUAUAAAAAAUUCCUAAAGACAAUAAAUUAUGGUUAUUUAAAAGUUGGUUUUAUGCUCUAAAUUAUAAAAUUAAUAGCAAAAUAUUUAAAUUUACUUAUCAUUGACAUUUAAAUUAUACAUAAAUGAAUUUAUUUUUCUUAAAUGGUGGUUCAAAAUUAGUAUAUAUCAUAAAAAUAUUUAUUUAUGUUAAAAUAGAUUAAAGUGUAGUGUAUAUUUAUUUAUUAAGGGAUGGAGUUGUAAUUCAAGCAUCUUACAUGGAGAGGAGUAUAAAUUUUAAUUUUCAAGGGAGGAGAUUGUAUAUUUUAACAUAAGAGGGAGUGUGUGUAAUUUAAACAUCUUUUAAGGGGAAGGAGUGUAAUUUACUCUAACUUAUAUUCAAAAGAGAUUGCCUUUAUUUUAUCUUUUACUUCCGGAGUAAUUUUUACGUAAAACACUUAUUUGAUAUGUAUUUAUGUUAUGUUAUGUUAUGAACGCUUAUGCAACCAUGAGUUUUUGUGCCGUUCAUAACUUGUUUUCCUUGUUUGUUUGAAUCAGAGGAAGGAAUCAAAUUCAUGAGUAGCGCCACGACACAUAUUAUUACCCUUACAACAAGAUUUAAUGAUGUCUUGAACAAAAUAUCUGAAAUAGUUGAAACAGCACGAAAGAACCAAAGUUCAAGGCUAUUGUUUAGGUUAAUCUUAAAGGAUUUAUCUCCCGUUGUACAAGAUAUAAAGCAUUACAAUGAACACUUGGAUCAACCCAGAGAAGAAAUAAAUAGUUUGAUAGAAGAAAGUGCAUGCAAAUCUUCUUUUGAGAAUGAUUCCUACGUUGUUGAUGAGAACCAAUCUCUUAUUGUAAAUGAUGUCGAAGAGACACUUUACAAGGCCAGAGAAAUUCUUGAGCUUCUCAACCACGAAAAUCCAAAAUUCACUGUUGGGUUGGAUAUACCAUUUAGCAAGUUGAAAAUGGAGCUUCUGAGGGGUGGUAGCUCCACACUUGUGUUGACUGGUUUAGGAGGAUUGGGGAAAACCACUCUGGCUACAAAGCUUUGUUGGGAUGAAGAAGUUAAUGGUAAGUCAUAAAUCCUUUUUGCCUUAUCUCAUGCAUGUUUGGAUUAGCAGUGUGUUAGACAGAAUCAUGAAAACUUGAAAGAAAAAAUUACGCUGCCACCAUAAUUUUGCCAAAUUCAAUUUGAUUCUAAACAUGAACUUAUACAUGAAUUAUAUAUAUCAUUGCCUUAGAUGGUACUCAAUAAUAUAUGGAUGUUUUUUUAGUAAAGAAUGGAUGGAAAUAAGGACAUAAGAAUUUUUUCAUAUAAAUAUUUCUUAUGUGUAGAGCAGCUUAAAGCGGUAUUCAUGCUCGCUGAUUGUAGAUAGUUUGUCCUUAGAGAAUAUUAUGUUUAGGAGCAGUUCAUUAUUUUCCAAAUUACAUCAUAGGAAAACAUUGUAGGCAUCUUCUAUCCUCUGCAAAUGUUGAUUUAACAUAUUAAAGAAGCAUUUUUCUUUGAAUUAGAUUAAUUAACUUUCUUUUCUGUCAAGUGUUCAUUUAGUUGAGCAUAUUAAAUGUAAAAGACAUUAACUUUUUUUGUCUUACAAUCUGUCUUUGGUUUUACUAGGUAAAUUCAAGGAAAACAUUAUAUUUGUCACCUUCUCAAAAACACCCAUGCUGAAGACUAUUGUAGAGAGAAUACAUCAACAUUGUGGAUAUUCAGUGCCUGAGUUUCAAAGUGAUGAAGAUGCAGUCAAUAAGUUAGGACUUUUGUUGAAGAAAGUUGAGGGAAGUCCACUAUUGUUGGUUCUGGAUGAUGUUUGGCCAAGCUCAGAAUCUCUUGUUGAGAAACUUCAAUUCCAGAUGACAGGUUUCAAAAUUCUGGUGACUUCAAGGGUUGCAUUUCCGAGGUUUAGCACAACAUGUAUCUUAAAACCUCUUGCUCAUGAAGACGCAGUAACGCUUUUCCAUCACUAUGCUCAAAUGGAAAAAAACAGUUCAGAUAUUAUCGACAAAAAUCUUGUAGAAAAGGUACUUGUUCUUACUUUCUUACAUAUGAGCGUUAUCUAUUAUGUAGCAUCGACACACUUCAGAUUGAAGUCACAUAGAAAGACGCCUAGUUAUAAUCAUUUGAUUACUGACCAUACUCGCUUGCAAUGAAUUGCAGGUCGUUAGAAGUUGCAAUGGUUUACCGCUUACCAUUAAAGUAAUUGCUACAUCACUCAAAAAUCGGCCUCAUGACUUGUGGCAUAAGAUAGUGAAGGAACUAUCACAAGGUCAUUCAAUUCUUGAUUCUAAUACCGAAUUACUUACUCGCCUCCAAAAGAUCUUCGAUGUUUUGGAAGAUAAUCCAAAAAUCAUGGAGUGCUUCAUGGACCUAGCCUUAUUUCCCGAAGACCAUAGAAUUCCUGUCGCUGCUCUCGUUGAUAUGUGGGCAGAGCUGUAUAAACUAGAUGACAACGGAAUACAAGCAAUGGAAAUCAUCAACAAAUUAGGCAUCAUGAAUUUGGCUAAUGUCAUAAUACCAAGGUACUACGACUAUUAUUAUUAUUAUUAUAUUUUCUUCUAGGCUACUUAAAUUGUUAAAUAUCUCACAUGAAUGAUACUCUACAUAAAUCCUGUCAAAUAAUUUUUUAUCUUUUAAGUAACUAAUUAACCUCUGCUCAUUUACCAGGAAAAAUGCAAGUGACACGGACAAUAACAACUACAAUAAUCACUUCAUCAUCCUUCAUGAUAUUCUAAGAGAACUUGGAAUUUACCAAAGCACCAAGGAACCAUUUGAGCAAAGAAAAAGACUGAUUAUUGACAUGAAUAACAAUAAAAGUGGGCUCGCGGAGAAGCAGCAAGGCUUGAUGACCCGUAUAUUUUCAAAGUUUAUGAGAUUGUG